rnacentral:misc_RNA from 1 species
GAUGAAGAACUUAGUGAAAUGCGAUACGUAGUGUGAAUUGCAGAAUUCCGUGAACCAUCGAGUCUUUGAACGCAAGUUGCGCCCGAAGCCAUUAGGCCGAGGGCACGCCUGCCUGGGUGUCACACACCGUUACCCUCGCGCCAACGUCCAUCGUUGGCCGCGGCGCGGGGCGUGCGCUGACCUCCCGCGAGCGGGGUCUCGUGGUUGGUUGAAAAUCGAGUUCGCGGUCGAGGGUGCCGUGAUGAAAUGGUGGAUGGGCGACGCCCGAGGCCAAUCACGCGCGACUCUGUCCGGCUCGGACUCCUGGACCCCUUCGGCGUCUCCGGACGCUCUUUGGCGAGACCUCAGGUCAGGCGGGGCUACCCGCUGAGUUUAAGCAUAUCAAUAAGCGGAGGA